UACGGAGGGUGCAAGCGUUAUCCGGAAUCACUGGGUUUAAAGGGUGCGUAGGCGGCUUGGUAAGUCAGGGGUGAAAGCUUCCCGCUCAACGGGAGAAUUGCCCUUGAUACUGUCAGGCUCGAAUCAGGUUGAGGCAGGCGGAAUGUGGCAUGUAGCGGUGAAAUGCUUAGAUAUGCCAUAGAACACCGAUUGCGUAGGCAGCUUGCCAAGCCUUGAUUGACGCUGA
rnacentral:rRNA from 1 species